rnacentral:rRNA from 1 species
AAGCCCGAACUAGCAACGCCCCGUGUGCGAAGAAGGCCUUCGGGUUGUAAAGCACUUUUUGAGAGGAUGAGGAAGGACGGUACUCUCAGAAUAAGUCUCGGCUCACUACGUGCCAGCAGCCGCGGUAACACGUAGGAGGCGAACGUUAUCCGGAUUUACUAGGCGUAAAGCGCGUGUAGGUGGUUCGGUAAGUAGGGCGUGAAAGCUCCUGGCUCAACUGGGAGAGGCCGUUCUAAACUGCCGGACUAGAGGAUGGUAGAGGGAGGUGGAAUUCCAGGUGUAGCGGUGGAAUGCGCAGAUAUCCGGAGGAACACCAGUGGCGAAAGCGGCCUCCUGGACCA